rnacentral:misc_RNA from 1 species
CUAGAGUCCCAAAAAUUAUUUCACGAAUUUUCCCCCGGGUUUAGAGCUUUUAGCUGUGAAAACAGCAACUUCCCGUUAACUUACCCAUCGCUAGGGCACCGACUCAUUUAACUUUGUUGUAUUUUAUUUUUAAAAUUUUUUCUUAAUUUUUUUUACACUUAUUUGAAUUAUUUAUGACUCUCACUCUAGUCUACAUAUAGUUUCAGACAUUCUAACUGUCCGAACAGACAUUAAUCACCGGAACAGUCAAAUGCACAGACUAGCUAAAGCUAGCUAAAGUGAGGGUGUAACAAUUAUCACCCAUGUUGCAGAGUCUGAUUGCAGGAAUAACAGGUUACCCAGAACUCUUUCUAGUCAAAGUAUACAGGAUGACCAACUAAACAAGUUAUUUGAAUUUUGUUAUGCAGAUUUUAAAGGAAUGUAGACCAUAUCGUCCUCCCUGAGAACUUUAACAACUCUAGAAAGGCGCAAUUAGCACCUCAUACGAUUAUGUGAAAUCAAUUUCAAAAUUCCACAGAAAAAACAAAGUACAUGAAACGUAUUAGACAAAUUAACCCACCUCUUCAAAACAAUUAACAUUUCAACUAAUCUUAAUAGGAAGUAGAAACAAAGAAUAAACAUAAAAAAUAAUAUUAAUCACUGCAGAACAUAAAGCAAUCAUAUUAGUUAUUUUGAACACUGAAUGCAAAUAACACUCGCCGCUUAAGCCAAACAAUCAAGUCACAAACUUUCUUCCAAUUUCCCACAAUUUCUUGGCAACUAAGCGCAGCUGAAGUUUCUGAAGAAAAUGAAUGAAAAAGAGAAGGCACAUCAAAUGAUUGUUUACAUGGCCUUGUAGCCAGAGAUUUCAGAUGCGUUUCUUGGAUUUAAACAAUUCCCAAAAAUUCAUCUUCCCAGAUAUGCGGAUAGUGAGGGAGAAAAUCAGAGAGAAAUCGAGAAAAAAUGAUAUAUAUACAAAGAGAAAAAGAGGAGAUACCUAGAUUUAUGGGUCUGCCAA